UACAGAGGUCUCAAGCGUUGUUCGGAUUUACUGGGCGUAAAGGGCGCGUAGGCGGUCAGCACAAGUCAGUUGUGAAAUCUCCGGGCUUAACUCGGAAAGGUCAACUGAUACUGUGCGACUAGAGUGCAGAAGGGGCAACUGGAAUUCUCGGUGUAGCGGUGAAAUGCGUAGAUAUCGAGAGGAACACCUGCGGCGAAGGCGGGUUGCUGGGCUGACACUGA
rnacentral:rRNA from 1 species